UUGCCAGACUCCUACGGGAGGCAGCAGUGGGGAAUAUUGCACAAUGGGGGAAACCCUGAUGCAGCGACGCCGCGUGAGCGAUGAAGUAUUUCGGUAUGUAAAGCUCUAUCAGCAGGGAAGAAGAUGACGGUACCUGACUAAGAAGCCCCGGCUAACUACGUGCCAGCAGCCGCGGUAAUACGUAGGGGGCAAGCGUUAUCCGGAUUUACUGGGUGUAAAGGGAGCGUAGACGGCAGUGCAAGUCUGGAGUGAAAGGCGGGGGCUCAACCCCCGGACUGCUCUGGAAACUGUACGGCUGGAGUGCAGGAGAGGUAAGUGGAAUUCCUAGUGUAGCGGUGAAAUGCGUAGAUAUUAGGAGGAACACCAGUGGCGAAGGCGGCCUGCUGGACCGUGACUGACGUUGAGGCUCGAGAGCGUGGGGAGCAAACAGGAUUAGAUACCCGCGUAUA
rnacentral:rRNA from 1 species